AUUGAACGCUGGCGGCGUGCUUAACACAUGCAAGUCGAUCGGUAACAGGUGUAGCAAUACAUGCUGACGAGAGGCGGACGGGUGAGUAAUGCUUGGGAAUCUGCCUAUUAGUGGGGGACAACCCGGGGAAACUCGGGCUAAUACCGCAUACGCUCUACGGAGGAAAGCCGGGGACCGCAAGGCCUGGCGCUAAUAGAUGAGCCCAAGUCGGAUUAGCUAGUUGGUAGGGUAACGGCCUACCAAGGCGACAAUCCGUAGCUGGUCUGAGAGGACGACCAGCCACACCGGAACUGAGACACGGUCCGGACUCCUACGGGAGGCAGCAGUGGGGAAUAUUGGACAAUCGGGGCAACCCUGAUCCAGCGACGCCGCGUGGGUGAAGAAGGCCUGCGGGUUGUAAAGACCCUUUCGGUGGGAAGGAAAAGUCUCGACCUAAUACGUCGGGACCUUGACGU
rnacentral:rRNA from 1 species